rnacentral:rRNA from 1 species
UACGGAGGGUGCAAACGUUGCUCGGAAUCAUUGGGCGUAAAGCGCACGUAGGCGGCCUGUUAAGUCGGAUGUGAAAGCCCCGGGCUCAACCCGGGAAGUGCAUUCGAAACUGGCGGGCUCGAAUAUGGAAGAGGGUCGCGGAAUUCCCGGUGUAGAGGUGAAAUUCGUAGAUAUCGGGAGGAACACCAGUGGCGAAGGCGGCGACCUGGGCCAAUAUUGACGCUGAGGUGCGAAAGCGUGGGGAGCAAACAGG